rnacentral:rRNA from 1 species
GACGAACGCUGGCGGCGUGCUUAACACAUGCAAGUCGAACGGAAAGGCCCUGCUUUUGUGGGGUGCUCGAGUGGCGAACGGGUGAGUAACACGUGAGUAACCUGCCCUUGACUUUGGGAUAACUUCAGGAAACUGGGGCUAAUACCGGAUAGGAGCUCCUGCUGCAUGGUGGGGGUUGGAAAGUUUCGGCGGUUGGGGAUGGACUCGCGGCUUAUCAGCUUGUUGGUGGGGUAGUGGCUUACCAAGGCUUUGACGGGUAGCCGGCCUGAGAGGGUGACCGGCCAAAUGGGGACGGAGGUCCGGCCCAGGCCCCGAGGGGGGGAAGGAGUGGGGAAUUUUGCACAAGGGGCGGAAGCCUGAUGCAGCAACGCCGCGGGGGGGAUGAGGGCCUUCGGGUUGUAAACCGCUUUCGCCUGGGACGAAGGGUGGGUGACGGUAAUGGGUAAAGAAGCACCGGCUAACUACGU